UACAGAGGUCUCAAGCGUUGUUCGGAUUCAUUGGGCGUAAAGGGUGUGUAGGUGGCGCCGUAAGUCGGGUGUGAAAUUUCGGAGCUUAACUCCGAAACUGCAUUCGAUACUGCGGUGCUUGAGGACUGGAGAGGAGACUGGAAUUCAUGGUGUAGCAGUGAAAUGCGUAGAGAUCAUGAGGAACACCAGUGGCGAAGGCGGCUCACUGGCCCGGUACUGACGCUGAGGCGCGAAAGCGUGGGGAGCAAACAGG
rnacentral:rRNA from 1 species